rnacentral:rRNA from 1 species
GACAGAGGUGCCGAGCGUUAGGCGGAAUCACUGGGCUUAAAGCGUGUGUAGGCGGGUCGUUAAGUGUCUUGUGAAAUCCCCCCGGCUCAACCGGGGAAUGGCUGGGCAUACUGGCGAUCUUGAGCAGUCUAGGGGCAGAUGGAACAAGUGGUGGAGCGGUGAAAUGCGUAGAUAUCACUUGGAACGCCAACGGUGAAGACAGUCUGCUGGGGGACUUGCUGACGCUGAGACACGAAAGCCAGGGGAGCGAACGGG